UGGGGGAUAUUGCACAAUGGGCGAAAGCCUGAUGCAGCGACGCCGCGUGGGGGAUGAAGGCCUUCGGGUUGUAAACUUCUUUUGCUCUGAACAAGGCGCACCAUGGGGUGUGUUGAGUGUAGGGGUUGAUUAGCGCCGGCUAACUACGUGCCAGCAGCCGCGGUAAUACGUAGGGCGCGAGCGUUGUCCGGAAUUAUUGGGCGUAAAGGGCUUGUAGGUGGCUGGUUGGGUCUGUCGUGAAAGCUCAUGGCUUAACUGUGGGUUUGCGGUGGGUACGGGCUGGCUUGAGUGCAGUAGGGGAGGCUGGAAGUCCUGGUGUAGCGGUGGAAUGCGCAGAUAUCAGGAGGAAUACCGGUGGCGAAGGCGGGUCUCUGGGCUGUUACUGACACUGAGGAGCGAAAGCAUGGGGAGCGAACAGG
rnacentral:rRNA from 1 species